rnacentral:rRNA from 1 species
UACGGAGGGUGCGAGCGUUGUCCGGAAUCACUGGGCGUAAAGGGCGCGUAGGUGGCGACCCAAGUCAACGGUGAAAGCUCGGCGCUUAACGCCGAGUCGGCCGUCGAUACUGGGUGGCUCGAGCACUGUAGAGGCAGAUGGAAUUCCGGGUGUAGCGGUGGAAUGCGUAGAGAUCCGGAAGAACACCGGUGGCGAAGGCGGUCUGCUGGGCAGUUGCUGACACUGAGGCGCGACAGCGUGGGGAGCAAACAGG